CCUGCCCCUAGAGGCAUUGCAAGUGUAGCUGCUGUGUCACAUGACUGCUAAUAGGUGGCAAAGAGAAGAAAGGCUAUGUCUGUGUUCAGUGCUCUGACCUAUGAGCAUCUGAAUGAUUAGUAGCCUAACAUU
ensembl:snoRNA